GGAGGGAGGCAGGCGCGCCGCUAUCCCCGAGCCCCCGAGCCUCCGGCACGCGGAACGCAGGGCGUGCUUGUGCCGCUUCAUCUUGUCUCUGUGCCCCGCGAGGGCCCGGAGCGAGCCGAGGGCAGUGCACCGAAGGCGGCAGUCACACCAGAACGAGGGUUUGGCCACAACCCUUCAUUUCUGUAUUUGGUGCAAAGUGCUGAGAAACAGGAGGAAGAGAAUUGGGGAGUGCAUCAAAUAAUGUCUUGAAAUAUUUUAAUUUACUAUUUGAGGUCUGAGAUAACUAUUUUAUAAAGUGAAUUAAAAAACUUGAAAUGCUUCAGUAAAAAGUAAAUUUAAAAAAAUUAAUCUUAAACAUUUUUUAUUACAUGAUUCUUCUAUCUCCCCGGGAAUAAGCACAUUGAGCUAGCACCAGCUGUAGGCUCCUGGCCUAGCUAACUGAAGACAAUAGAGGGCUUGGGAAGAGGUUAAAUUAGAAACCAAAGCAGCAGAGUCACAGGGUGUUCUAGCAAUGAUGCCACCUCCCCCCCAGAAGGCAAAUCUGUGAUGCAAGGGUGCCCAAAAGCUCUCCUGCACCUUCCACCAGAGGGGUCCUUUGCUCAGCCCUUCACCGCUUUAUAGUGCUUGUGAAGACCUAAGAAAUAAGUUGAUUCCAUGCCCAUUGUGACCCUGCCUCCAGGGGAGCCCAGAAACAACAAACUUUACAGCUGUCAUCCUCCCACGGCAAAUUUGGGGACUAGUGGACUUUUGCUUUUGAUGUAGCAACCAAUACCCUCUCUCUCUUCAGGAACUCCACUUACUAGAUCCUUAUUAGACCUGCUCUUUAAAAAUCUAUAUUAAUCAUUUGCUUCCUAAUAUGACCUUGCAUCAUCAUGCUACUUCUCCCAAUUAUGUACUUGUUGAGCCUUAUCUUUAAUUGCAAAAUGAAAAUAUGAAGUCUCAGAGAGGAAGCAGAGUCUCAUCCUUCAUGAUCAACAGGUGAGGAUGGUCCGAUAUACAACCUGGGCUUUCCACGUUGAUGAAACUGUGCACUAUACAGGAGCUCAAAUUUGUGGGUUUUCUAAAAUGGCAGUAGGCUUGCCAAUGGAGCUUUUAUACUAGUGGAAGUAGCAAGUAGGAAGAUAAUAAGGUAAAAGCUAGUCACUUUUCUUCUGAGUAAUUUCUUUAAUUGAGUGAAGUUAAGAUAGGGUAGGAUUGCAUUUGCAAAAAAUGUUAAUUCUUUCGGCAAAUAUCUAUUAAGGUUAUACCAUAUGUCAGGCACUGUGCGAAGUGCUGGUGGUUGUCUUAGGCUGGGCUUCCUCAGAAACAGACCUUGAGGUUAGGAUUUAAGUAAAAGUGGUUUUGAAUUGGGAAAGUUAUCCCAGGAAGUACUGUAAGGGGAGUGAGAAAGUGAGACAGAGAAAAGGAAAAGACGUUGAUAUAGGGUGUAUUCAUGAGCAGGGUACCACUGUGGGCAAGGGGGACUCAAUCCACUGGGAACCUCAGGGGCAGAAAAAGCAUGGAACUCCCUUAGGGCUGGAACACUGAAGGACAAGGAAAUGUGUAAUGCUGUUGGGAUGGUUGAUCUGCACUUCUGGCCUGCCACUGUAGCAGUGGAGCAAAUACCCUGUGGUUACUGCAACUGCUGCUGCUGCCCCAAGACUACUGCCCCCUCCUCCCAACCUAUAAAUACCCUGUUCCUUCCUCUCCCUACUUAAAGCUGAGAGGGAGGAUCUGUGAAUUUCAAUUAUCCCUAUUCUCUGCUCUUUACAAUGUUAAGCUGCCUCUACCCUUUGUAGCUUUCCAUCCAUAUUUCAUAGGAUGAUGGAGUUUUUGCCUUCAGCUCCUUUCUUUACAAUUCAUGACAACUACUGUUGAUUUAUUCCCUUAUAGGUAACUGGUUUAAGCAGCCUUUGAGCCCCAGUGGAAGUCCUCUGUUGAAAUGAAUUGAUUAGGCUUCCUCUAAGGAAGAGAUGCGGCUGCAUAGGUAAUCAGGGAAGGUGACAAGUCGAUAAAGGAGUUCAAAGAACAGAGAACCACUGGGAGAGAGGAUCACUGUUCCUAAAACUGGAGGGAAACAGUGAUAUACAGCUUGUAUGUUUCCAGUGAUUUGAAAUUGAAGCACAUAACACAGACAGAAGCUGAGUAUGACAACAGUGAUAAGGGUCUAUGAAGCACAAAAGGAUCAAAGGAAAACGUCAGUGGGAAAUAGAUUGGGAAUAAAGAAGAAAGGGAGGAAGUGGGCAGAAAAAGAGGCUGAUCAGGAGAGCGAGAACCUACCUACAGUGGAGGAGAGCGGAGCAGGGUGGUGUGACAGGAGGUGCCCUGAGGACACGGAGCCAUCCAACAGAGGCUGAAGUCUAGAAACCCAGGCAGGAAUGAGGCUGUGCCUGCUCUCAAGGAGCAACUGCCCAGCGGAGACGCCAGCACCGGCAGCCCCGAGAUGUUCACGGCGGCGACAUGCUCCUGUGCAUCAGCGGAGAGCAAGUCAGUCUCCCCUCCAGCUGCCUCGUGCCUCUGCCCACACGGAGCUCCACCGCCCUGAGUCCACCUCCCUCCACCCUCAGGCUGCCUUGGUCACCAUCAGAAGUCCAAGCCUCCAUAUCACUAUCAUUGGCUGGGUUGUUCUGAAUCUCACUAAUCUAACCUCAACCUCCACCCUCCCCAUCCUCCCAAAUCAUUCCAAAAGGUCCCUUUGAAAUUCAUUAUCAUCAACAAAGUCCCAGCAUGUCUUCAAUCUCUCGCCUAAAUAUUACAUUCCUUUUAUUUAUUUAUUUUUUUUUGCUCUAACUCAGGAGCUGACAAACAUUUUCUGUCAAGUGCCAGAUAAUAAAUAUUUUAGGCAUUACAGACCACAUAGUCUCUGUGGCAAUUGCCUAACUUUGCCAUUAUAGUGCAAAAGCACCCAUAGAAAAAUAUGUGAACAAAUGAGUGUGGCUGUGUUCCAAUAAAACUUUAUUGACAAAAUCUGGAGGGCAGACCAGACUUGGCCCAGGGGUGAUAACUUCCCGAUCCUGCUCUAAGGGAAACCUAGAUACCCCUCUGUGGAGGUGGCUUCCUGCCGUAUUCAGGUGAAGGUUGUUUUUCCCUCUUAAAACCUUCCUAGAUCAGAGCUAUCAAUUACCAAUCUCUCUUUUACAUCCUCUUGUUCUUUGAUGAAUUGAACACUUAAGUCACUUCACUUUCAACCCUGCCAUCAUUCUUGGAGACUUCAGAAUUUAAUAAAUGGUCCAUCCAACACCCUGGUCCUUCAGUUCCUUAAUCUUUUAGGAGCAAUAAUCUCUUAUUCUGCCUCCCUUCAGCCGCCUAUUCACAACGCCGUACCCUAGACCUCGUCAUCACCAAGUACAUCCCCAGUAUUGUGAGUGCAAACAUCUCUCCUCCAGCACAUCCAGUAACCCCACCCCCAAGUCCCCUGAAUUUCACAGGCCUCCAGUGCCCCGGCCAUCCCUCUCCGUACGCACUAUGUCCCCCAUGUCCUCACUACAAUCCAGCUCCAUAACCACUUCCCAGAAAACAUGCAGUGCUCUUUUGUCCCUCUGCCUCCUCAUCACACCCCAGCCCCAGCGAAGCCCAUAUAUCACCUAAAUCUGUACCUGCUGCAGAGCAAUUCAGAGCAGUGGAAAAGACUCACAUGGCCACACUGACUUGACUUGCUGUGGAAAAACACAGCAGUGAACAAAACAGACCAAAAUCCCCUUCCUGGUGGAGCUAUCAUUCUAGUGAGAGAAAAAAAGACAAUAAGCAAAAGAAAUAAUUAAAAUAUUUAGUAAGUUAAAGGACAACAAUGGCUAAGGAGAAAAAAAUAAAGGAAGGAAGUUAUGAAGGGAGAGGAGGAUGUGAAAUUUUAGAUAAGGUGGCCAGGGAAGGCCUGCUGGUAAGAUAGCUUUUGGAUGAAAACCAGAAGUGAGCGAGGGCAAGACUAUGUGUGUUUUUGGAAGAACAUCCCAUGCUGAGGGAACACAAUAACACAAAGGCCUUGUGGUGGGUGUGUGCCCCGCUCAGAAGCGAUGCAACAGAGAGGCCUGUGGGGCACAGGGAGAGUGGGGGAAAAGGGAAGAGUAGAAGGAGAUGUGGCCAGAGGACACCCAUGUAUUUCCCUAGUUUCCUUAGCACGGGGUCCUCUGCUCAGGCUUCAGGCUGCAAUUGAGGUGUUGGGUGGGCUGCAGUCUCAUCUGGAGGCUCAACGAGGGAGGGAUCCUUGUCCAAGCUCAUUCAGGUUGCUUGCAGAAUUCACUUCCUUGCAGCUGUAGGACUGAGAACUCUAGCACUGUUUUGCUGAGAGUCAGCCAGAGGCCAACUUCAGCUUCUAGAGGCUGCAGAAAAUUCCCUGCCACAUGGUCCACUCCAUGGGCAGAUCACAAUGUGACAACUUGCUUUUUAAGGCUAGUAGGAGAGUAAGAGUGAGUCUUUUAGCAAGAGAAUGUGAUGUAAACACAGGAGUGAUGUCCAUCAUGUUGCUGUAUUCUGUGGUCAGAAGGCAUCACAGAUCCCACCCAUGCCCAAGGGAGGACAGAGGCAGGGACACCAGGAGGGAGGAUCUUGAGGCCUCCUUAGGGUCUGUCUGCUGCAGAACUCAAGUCACAUAAGGAUAUAGAUGCCUUUGAAGGACUUAGACUUUUUCUCUGAGACCGGCGGUCAUUGGAAGGUUUGAACUGAAGAAUGAUGUGCUGUGAGAGAACAGACUCUGGGGGGCCAAGGACAGAAGCAGGUAGCAAAAUUAGGAGAGUAUUGCAAUAGUCCAGGUGUAAGUGGAUGGGGUAAGUUUGGAGUGGUGUCCAUGUGGAAGAAGAGGCCAUGUUCUGGGUGUGUUUUUAAGGCAGAGCCGACAUAAUUUGCUAACAGGUCCAAUGUAGAAUGAGAGUAAAAGAGAGGAGUCAAGGGUUAUUUCAGGUUUUUGACCUGAGCAACUGGAAGGGUAGAGUUGCAUUAACUAUGACAGAAAAUAUUGAGGGAAAGCAAGUUUGAG